ensembl:lncRNA
UUGGAGGCUGCCUCCUUUGGAGUGUUUGGUGAGCUCUGACUCUUAGGAACAGUUUGUUUGAGUCAUGGAGUUGUUAGGAUCUACUGGAAUAUUCCCUACAGUCUGUAUUUACUUUCCAGAGGGAGCAUACUAUAAGGCUGUAACCAGAUGAGCCGUGUGUACUUUUAUGCUUUUUGCUUUCAGAACUCAGAGACUGCAGUUUUUGAUGGUAUUUUCUGUAUUAUCUUCACCAUGCAGUUGACUGAGCCAUACUGAGUACCAAAGGCACGUUACUUUCCAUGGGAGAUUUGGGACUGUACAUCUGAGCUGGGGUAAUUCACUUGGGUAGACUUCAAUGUAACCACAGAAAAGCACAAAACUGAAGCUUCCUUGUGAAAAGAGUAUGUUAAUGCUUUUGAAGCUUUUAAUUUUGUGUUUGUGUAAUGAAUUUGAAAGAAAUGACACAUGUAUGGAAUAUAAUGAACUUGAGAGAAGCAAAGUGAGCUGUUAAAAUUCAGGUGUGUGCUUACUAGGAAGACAGUGGCUUUUUGGGGUUCUGUAUUCUCCCCUGUUGUAUCUCUGGUGGCAUUCCUGGAGCUGUCCCCACACACCAGCUGUAAUACAGCCUACAGGACUACUUGUUCAGGUCAGCAGAGAGGAUGUUGUGCUGAGCAGCACUCAGGGACUUCUUUGUGGUUGGACCCUUUUAGGUUUCUUUCAUUAUGCCAAGAAAACUGUUAAAUUCAUUAAACACCACCAAGAAUGUUGACAGGAGCACUGUCAGUCAUGUCCUCAUGGACUCUUAUGCCUACAUAGUUUGCUGUGCUCUCUUAAAUUUUUUUCAAUUGAAAAUGAGGUCUGGUACAUCGAUUUGGGUUCAUCGUGAUACAUGUAAGUUUACCUCUGUGCGCAACCAUAUGGACAUGCAGUGUUUUACCAAACAACUGCAAAGGAAGUCUGCAAAUUGGAAUCACUAUCCUAUCUCCAGGGAAGACUACAAUUGUCAAUUCUCUGUCAGCUAAUUGAAAAUAAUGAAAUGUAAGUUACAAACAGCAGCAAAAUUGUAUGAGUCAUUCUAUUUAUACUUGUAAUUACGUCUAAAGGUCUGAGUGUCUUUAAAUUGAAAGAAGAUUGGUUCUGUCAGGUGCUUAACAAGAUUUUCUUGGAAAGGGUCUUUCUAGAGAAAGCACUGUAGAAACCAUCUUUGUCAGCAAAGCGUAAACAGCUUGACACCGUAUGCCAAAAUUCAAGUGAGGUAAUGCUGCAAUGCACUUGUGCACAUUGUUUCAACAAGCAGAUGUAUGUGGCCAAGAUAGAGAGUGACUGCCUCAUGAUGCUAAUUCCCUCUACUUCAGUUACUGUGCGUUAGCUCAAAGUGGAGAUGGAAAAUGCUGAGGGCGGGUGGGAUCUUCUCUUUUCUACUUUCUCUGAAUCUCUCAGAAGGCCUUGGGGCUCUGGAAGCUUGUAAGUAGGAUGCAUUACAUAUCAAUAAUGCAUAAAGCACAAUUAGCACAUGUGGUUCUUUGCAGGCAUGUAUCUCAUUCUCAGCUCCAAACAUCAGCACAGUGCUACGCAAGGGACAGGGAGGAACUGCAUCAUAAACACACACAAAAAAAGUAUUGAUGCAUUAUUGAACAAUUUAGUUCAGCAAGUCUACUCUGUACAGAUUUGAAAACAAAAAAUGCUCUGUGGAUAUUUGUCCAAAUAAAGUAAUGGGACUAUGAGAAUGGAAACAAAGCAGCUAAGGGACCUGGUUUUUGUUUUUUGAGUUAUUGUUUAAAGUUAAAACUUAUAGGAAAUAGAUUGUGUAUUGAUGGCAAAACAAAUCUGUUAAGACCAGUGCUAAAGCAGAGCUAAGUCACUGUGUUGUCUCUUGGUAGAGACAGCCAGGAUCUCUGCCCUGAAGUACAUAUGUCCUUUCUUUAUUCUCUGGGGCAUCUCAGUGUGCCAUUCUUCUAUGCAGUAAGCUGUUGAUUGCAUAUUUUGGAAAUAGUGCAGAAUUUCUUUUUGGGGGAAAAAAAUACAGUGAAUCCAGAAGGGAAAAAUCAAAAAAACAAACACCAUAAAAAUGGGGGAAAUUCAAAGAAAUACAAAGAUGAAAAGAAUGCUGUGGUGGCUAUAAUGUCAAAUACAAAAACAGUAUAAAAUGAACCUUCCACAUGAAGGAGUAUAACACUGAAUAACCUGUACUUCCCAUUACUUCCCAGAAGUCCUGAGUUUUACAGACAUACGGUAAUAGUGAGUGUCAGGAGGCUGAUGUAUGACUUAUUUUUGGGUGUCCAUUAUAUUAUGGUGAUUUUUACUAACAUCCAAAGUGCUUUAAAGCUCUGCUAGCUGGCAAUGUAAUUCAUGGUGCAUCUUAAAUAUUCACUUGUGGAGGUCUGGUAUUGGAUGUUCCUGUUCAUAUAACAUGAAUUCUUAAUGCUUUUCAAAUAGCUGAAAUGUGGUACUUUAUUAUGGCAGUUUAUAUAAUAGAUGUAAUAGAUAUGUUGUGGAGCAUGCUUUUAAUGUCCAUUAUUGUGCUUAGGAGUAUAUGUGUUACAUUACCGAUGUAAUUUGUCAGUCGUAGCACAGUGUUGCUCUAAAAAGAUGGUGAAAGACUGUCAAGACCACAGUUACCAACUGUAGCUCUUAUAUUAUGUCUGUUGAACAGAUAGAUAAGCAAAUUCAUUAGUAAAAAGUAGCACAGUGACAAGUUGUCAUAUGAUUAUUUGUACUAUUCUGUUAACUAGAUUUGAUUUUUUUUUUGCUAAGAAAGUAUCCAGCUGCUUAAAUGUCUAUUUGAAAUGUGAAUUUCUUCAGUGCAUGAGAAAUACAAUGCAUGUUACUUU